rnacentral:misc_RNA from 1 species
AACUUUCGGCAAUGGAUCUCUUGGUUCUGGCAUCGAUGAAGAACGCAGCGAAAUGCGAUAAGUAAUGUGAAUUGCAGAAUUCAGUGAACCAUCGAAUCUAUGAACGCACAUUGCGCCCGGCAGUAAUCUGCCGGGCAUGCCUGUCCGAGCGUCAUUUCUGCCCUCGAGCCGGUCCAGCAUCUAGGUGCUGCUCCGGCCCGGCGUUGGGGCACUACGGGAAGCCUCGUGCUAUCCCCCGUAGGCCCCGAAAUGAAGUGGCGGUCCUGCCGCGGCUCCCCCUGCGUAGUAUUACAGCUCGCUUCGGGACCCGGUGGAGGCCUGCAGUCAAACCUUACUCUCUAAGUUUGACCUCGGAUCAGGUAGGGUUACCCGCUGAACUUAAGCAUAUCAAUAAGCGGAGGCU